rnacentral:rRNA from 1 species
AUUGAACGCUGGCGGCAUGCUUUACACAUGCAAGUCGGACGAGUGGCGGACGGGUGAGUAACAUAUCGGAACGUACCGGGUAAUGGGGGAUAACUACUCGAAAGAUUAGCCAAUACCGCAUAUUAUCCGAGCAGCCCAUAUCUGAUUAGCUGGUUGGUGGGGUAAAGGCCUACCAAGGCGACGAUCAGUAGCGGGUCUGAGAGGAUGAUCCGCCACACUGUGACUGAGACACGACCCAGACUCCUACGGUAGGCAUCAGUGGGGAAUUUUGGACAAUGGGCGCCAGCCUGAUCCAGCCAUGCCGAGUGUCUGAAGAAGGCAUUCGGGUUGUAAAGGACUUGGGUCAGGGAAGCGGUACCUGAAGAAGAAGCACCGGCUAACUACGUGCCAGCAGCAGCGGUAAUAC